rnacentral:rRNA from 1 species
AACUAACAGGAUUCCCCUAGUAACUGCGAGUGAAGCGGGAAAAGCUCAAAUUUAAAAUCUGGCGGUCUUUGGCCGUCCGAGUUGUAAUUUAGAGAAGCGUCUUCCGCGCCGGACCGUGCACAAGUCUCCUGGAAUGGAGCGUCAUAGAGGGUGAGAAUCCCGUCUUUGGCACGGAUGCCCGGUGCUUCUGUGAUGCGCUCUCGAAGAGUCGAGUUGUUUGGGAAUGCAGCUCAAAAUGGGUGGUGAACUCCAUCUAAAGCUAAAUAUUGGCGAGAGACCGAUAGCGAACAAGUACCGUGAGGGAAAGAUGAAAAGCACUUUGGAAAGAGAGUGAAACAGUACGUGAAAUUGUUGAAAGGGAAACGCUUGAAGUCAGUCGCGUCGACCGAGACUCAGCCUUGCCUUGGCUUGGUGUACUUCUCGGCCCGACGGGUCAGCGUCGAUUUCGCUCCUCGGAUAAUGGCAAGGGAAAGGUGGCACCUUUACGGGUGUGUUAUAGUCUCCUGUCGCAUGCGAGGGGUGGGAUCGAGGAACUCAGCGCGCACCUUGGUGUCGGGGCUUCUGCCCACGUCACGCGCUUAGGAUGCUGGCGUAAUGGCUUUAAACGACCCGUCUUGAAACACGGACCAAGGAGUCCAACACGCCCGCGAGUGUUCGGGUGGAAAACCCGUGCGCGUAAUGAAAGUGAAAGUUGGGACCUCUGUCGUGGAGGGCACCGACGCCCGGACCAGACCUUCUGUGACGGAUCUGCGGUAGAGCGUGCGUGUUGGGACCCGAAAGAUGGUGAACUAUGCCUGAAUAGGGUGAAGCCAGAGGAAACUCUGGUGGAGGCUCGUAGCGAUUCUGACGUGCAAAUCGAUCGUCAAAUUUGGGUAUAGGGGCGAAAGACUAAUCGAACCAUCUAGUAGCUGGUUCCUGCGUUAUCUCCCUUUUGA